ACACAUGCAGUCGAGCGGUAACAGAUCCAGCUUGCUGGAUGCUGACGAGCGGCGGACGGGUGAGUAAUGCAUAGGAAUCUGCCCGAUAGUGGGGGAUAACCUGGGGAAACCCAGGCUAAUACCGCAUACGUCCUACGGGAGAAAGGGGGCUCCGGCUCCCGCUAUGGGAUGAGCCUAUGUCGGAUUAGCUAGUUGGUGAGGUAACGGCUCACCAAGGCCACGAUCCGUAGCUGGUCUGAGAGGAUGAUCAGCCACAUCGGGACUGAGACACGGCCCGAACUCCUACGGGAGGCAGCAGUGGGGAAUAUUGGACAAUGGGGGAAACCCUGAUCCAGCCAUGCCGCGUGUGUGAAGAAGGCCCUCGGGUUGUAAAGCACUUUCAGCGAGGAAGAACGCCUAGCGGUUAAUACCCGCUAGGAAAGACAUCACUCGCAGAAGAAGCACCGGCUAACUCCGUGCCAGCAGCCGCGGUAAUACGGAGGGUGCAAGCGUUAAUCGGAAUUACUGGGCGUAAAGCGCGCGUAGGUGGCUUGAUAAGCCGGUUGUGAAAGCCCCGGGCUCAACCUGGGAACGGCAUCCGGAACUGUCAAGCUAGAGUGCAGGAGAGGAAGGUAGAAUUCCCGGUGUAGCGGUGAAAUGCGUAGAGAUCGGGGAGGAA
rnacentral:rRNA from 1 species